GCGUCAGAUCCAGUUCUUCCUCUGACACUCCAGGUGGAGGAGUGAAACGAAAGCGCUGCAGGAGGGUGGUGAAGAAGAUGAACAGCUCCAUUUUGGCCAGAUUCUCUCCGAUACAAACCCGUCGACCUGCAGCACACAACAGAGUCUCCGUUGGCCCAGACGACACCUGGUGUCAAGCAGAACCCCUUUAAAUAGCUGAGGGUUGUAAACCAGCGUGGUUGACAAACGCCUCCUUCACCGUCUUGUAUCCAGCCAGAACCACCACCUUCUUGGGUCCCAGGUAGACAGUGAAGACGGAGCCGUACUUCUUGGAGAGCUGGAGCAGAGUACUGAGACUGCGCACAGCUUAUGGGCUGAAGGAUCAAAGCUAAGGCCCACGUGUGGCGUCAGAUCCAGUUCUUCCUCUGACACUCCAGGUGGAGGAGUGAAACGAAAGCGCUGCAGGAGGGUGGUGAAGAAGAUGAACAGCUCCAUUUUGGCCAGAUUCUCUCCGAUACAAACCCGUCGACCUGCAGCACACAACAGAGUCUCCGUUGGCCCAGACGACACCUGAUGUCAAGCAGAACCCCUUUAAAUAGCUGAGGGUUGUAAACCAGCGUGGUUGACAAACGCCUCCUUCACCGUCUUGUAUCCAGCCAGAACCACCACCUUCUUGGGUCCCAGGUAGACAGUGAAGACGGAGCCGUACUUCUUGGAGAGCUGGAGCAGAGGUGGGAUGACAUUACACCAUAUAC